CCUCAUCCCCAGGCAUCUGGGCGCCGCCGAGCCCCACCUGCACCUCGCUCCCGCCGCCUGCGCCCCUCGCCGGCUGCUGCGCUCCUCCCGGCGCACUCGGGCGCUCCAGGGCCCGACCCCGCGGCGUCCCGGCUCCGUCCUUCCCCGCCCGGCCCAUCCCGCUCCCGAAGGCGCCCCCGCCCACGUUGCUCCGGCUCCGGCUCGGGCUCCCGCUCGGGCUCCGGCCGCGCCCCGCCCUUCCCGGCCCGGGGCUGGCCUCGCACCCACAGCCAGCCACCCUGGGGCCGGCCCGUCGCCCCCCGCCCUCCCACGCCGAGCCCCAGCUCGCCCCCGCCCCGCGCGAGCCCGGCCCCCCACCCACUCGCCCCCCGGGGCCGCUCCAGCCCUCCAGCCCCGCUCCAGCCCCGCCCCCCGCCCCCCGGCUCGGCGCCGCGCCCCGCCCCGGACCCCACCCCGCCGGCGGGUCCGCGACCCCCGAAGCCCUUCCUCGGCAGCCCCGCGGCUGCUCACCCCGCCGGGAGCCCCCCCGGGCGGCCGCCCCCCCACGGGGGCCGCGCGUCACCCUCCCCAGCCAAGCGGUUCCGUCCCGAGCCUCCGGCACCAGCUCCGGCUCCGGCCCCUGCACCUCGGCCGGGGGCGGGGGGGCCUAGGUCCGCGCCCCGCGCGCCGCCGCAGCCCACUCCCCGGCACCGGGCCCUGCUCCACGCCCCGCCGGCUGCUGUCACCGGCGCCGGCACAUGCCGAGACGCCCAGCCGGCCCGCCGGCUCGCUCCCGAGCGGCCCCGCCAGGCGCGCGCCGCUCACCAGGGCCGAGGUGCCGAGGCGCCGCCGCCGCCGAAGUCCCCGCUGCACAGCCCGGCGAAGCCUCCAACCGCUGCCGCCUCCCGCCUGGCACUGAGCGCCGCGCGGGGGAGGGGCGCGGGCAGCCGCCGCCGCCGCCGCCGCCGCACGCAGGCCCCGCCCCCGCGCCGCGCCGCGCCCAACCCGGGGCCUCGGGCUGCGGCGCGCCCCGCCCACUUCCGGGAGGGGAAGCCCGCCCCGCUCUCCUUAGCGCCCCCUCUGGUCGCGCCGGGGGGAGCGAGUGGGCUGCGGAGGGAGGCGGCAGCCGAGCCCACGCGCCGCCCACGAGUCCACCCCCAGGGCCACGCCUCCGGGCGCCCCCGGGCCACGCCCGCUGCCCCUCAGAACCGGGAGGGGCGUUCUCAGAGCUCCGCCCUCCGGCCCGCCCGGCUCCUCGGAGAUUCCCGCAGAGCCCCUCAAAGCCGGAGCCGCGGCGCCUGCGAGCCCCGCCCGCUGCCCCUGCAGCCCGCGGCCCGCCUCCCCUCCCACGGCUUCCGAACCGACCCGAGGGCGCCGCCGAGCCCCGCCCACGGGCCUGACCCGGUCCUCGGCCUCGCGGGCCCCGCCCACUGCCCGGGUCAGCCCGCGAACCUCCAGGCCCCGCCCCGAUCCUCCGACUCCCGCCUCUGGCUGCCGAAGCCCCGCCCCGCCCCGCCCGCCUCCGAGGCCGCUCGCCUCCGCGCCCGCCUCCCUGCGCCUUCCGGCGUAGCGUUCCGGGCUCCCGGGGCCGCCCCUGCGCCGGCCGCACGGCUCGGCAGGGAGCGCCCCUCUCCGCCGGUUCCCAGGUGGGGAGCGGGGCCCCUCCCUUCCUCCUGCGGGCCAGAGUCCCGUUCGCUCAGCAGCUGGGCGGCCCCGGCCGCAGAGCACCGGAUUCGAGGCCCAGCUUUGAUGCUGUCGGACUGUGUGCCUUGGGUCAGUUCCCGUCCCCUCCUCAGGCCAGAACUUCCUGAUGGUUAG
rnacentral:lncRNA from 12 species